UAUAAAAAGCAGCAUAUGUAGGAUGAUCCUCUUAUUAUGGGGAAGAAAUAUUUCCCUCUGUAAGUACACACACACACACACACACACACACACACGGAAAGGCCCUAAAAUUCAAGGAGUGAUUAUCUCAGACUGUUGGGAUUUCCUGCAGAUUUUUUCUUUGUGUUUUUCUGUAUUUUCCAAGCUUUUUGUAGUCAUGUAAAAACACUUUUGUUCACAGAAAGCUUGGACCGCCCUGUGAGAUGCACUGGCCUCGUAGACACGGCUUUCUCCCGCGGAAAGACCUGCCGCAGCCCCGCCCAGGGCCCGGACCCUAGGUGGCCAGGUCUUAAUAUGGCGGCUUAGUGUUUCAGUAUUGGAGAGAUGUAGGAGGGCAUUCUGAUUGGAAAGGAGAAAUUGAAGUUAUACUUAAAACAAAAUUGUGACAAUGUCAAUCGUCCACAUAAAAGAAUGGGGGGAGGGGGAAGGGCUGGAACUUCCAGUCCUUUCCCUGGGGUCGGCCAUUACACUUUCCUGCACGCUCCUGCCUCAUCUCCGCUCCCAGCACAGAUGAUUGGACCGAGGGUGGUCAGCUGACCCGAGUGCAGCCAAUCCGUGGGCCAGCUUGUGCCCUAUGCAAAGAAGAUGGCUGGGCCGUCAGAUUCCUAUUCUGUCAGAUUUGAACUGGGAAACGAGGCAAGAACGAGGUAGCUGGCAGUGGGAACAGUGGAUGAAAGGACCUAAGGAGAGCUAGCCAGAGCAGGGUAAAGGCCUCGAGGAGUUACAUAGGGUGCUCAUUAUGAGAAAGUAGACAUAAUAAUUAAAAUGAAGAGUCAAAAGACGGGAAAAAGCAGACCUGUGGGGUUUAGAAAGGUAGAGACGAGAGGAACGGAGAAGCCAAGCGGUAACAAGCGCGAGGGAACGCGAAAGAGCAGAGCUGCCGCGGUUCUUGGUUUGAGCUCCCUGGAAACAGGCUCUGAGACAACGAUUCGAGCGCAAGUGGUUGAUCUGGGAAGUGGUCCCAGGAAACCGCAGGAGUGGGGCGGUGCUACGGGAAGAGCAGGCGGCCAUAACCGGGACUGGCACUCGCCUCAGGGGGAAGCAGUAGUACGCACACCUCGGAACUACCCUGGCCAACAGAUAAAGAAACCAAGAAACAGAGAUGAUAAGUAACUCGCCUAACAUGAACAGCUGUGAAUGAGAACACUUGGAUUUGCAUCCAGGCAGUCUAGCUCAGAGGCCUUGCUCUUGCCGUCUGUCUUGCUAUGCCACCUUCCCACCCACUGGUCCUGAGCCCAAAAGCUUUAAGAAUGAUUGGUAUAAAGGAUGCUGCUGCUUUUACAAGCCCCAGAAGAUAAUCUGUGAAAAAUGUUGUAUGAUCAAAUACAUUUGGGAAAUGUGAUGCCUCUCUUGGAAACCAUCAAAUUAGAAGCAAAUAAACCUAAUCAACUUCAACUCUGCUUCCUAAAUGUAUCAGACCAAGAUCCCUCUUCCAAGUGCUGCUGUCAUUAUCCUGGGACACAGCUGGGAAACCCAGAGAUGAACAGCAAGACCUCCGUCAAUCCUCCUGAAUGGCACCUCUCACAACCUGGCAUCUGUCAAGUGAUGGCAGCAGAGUCUGAAGUUACAUCUCUGACUACAUGAAGAGUGAUCCCUUUAUAAAUGACAAGGCAGGACUGAGCACGAUAGAGAACCCCUUUAUCUCUGCAAAGAGGUGAACUGAGGGCAUGACUAAGAUCCCCCUUCAGGAGACAAAUCUGGGUCUGUUCCAUCAAAGACAGUCAUUGAGGCCCCAGAAAUCACAGUCAUUUUAGCCUGGACAUCUUCCAAAGCAGAUGGUACCUCGCGCUUGCCUCGGUCAUAAAGAAAUCUCAAUUAAGCUCCCACAAAAUGUUUGAUUUUAAGUUAUGUAACUUCCUGGUGACCCCUCCAAGGAAAUUAGUGGUCAAAUUGUACUCCUAAUGAGCCAACUUCCUUUACCUGGUUGUAAACUAGAAGUCAAUUAAAUGUUACGGAAUGCCUACCAAAAUGACGACUCUGGUUUUGAACUAUCGAUCUUAUUUCUUUUUGACAGUAAUUACUUAAUUGGGCCAGUUGUCUGUGAAGAAAACUCCAAGUUCACAAUAAUAGAAUUGUGUCAUCAGGCAGCUUAUCAAGAACCUACAGUAAUAGGCAAGGCACUCUUGGUGUAAAAAUGAAAACUAUGUGCCUCUUCAAAAGCAUAUAAUCUAGUAAAGGGCCAGACAGAGCAAGGAAAGAAGAAACAAGGAAGGGAAGAGAGAGUAGAGUGGGUAGGAAGGGAGAAAGGAAGGAGGACAGGUCA